AAAUUGAAACAACAUAACCAUACUAUCUAUUUACGAUAAUUUGAUUGCUGACAACACGACAACAUCACGCUUCUCUUUCUUAUUCUUAUUUAUAUAGUUGUCACUUUAUUGGGCCGGAAAAGUGACACCGUCACGUCUCAGGGUCGUAUGCCUAGAACAAGAAGGGUCGUCGUACAAUUUUGGCUAUUGCAAAAAAGAAGGAGGCGAGCUCGCUAUCCCUCUUUAUCUUUCCACUUCCCUAUUCAAGAACAAACACUUCGCCAAAUUCUUUUGAGUCCCGGCCUAGUCUUUCCCCACUAA
rnacentral:rRNA from 1 species